rnacentral:lncRNA from 1 species
GUGGAGAACGGCAGUGCCCUUUAGUACAUGGAGAACGGCAGUGCCCGUGAGCACCUGGAGAACGGCAGUGCCCUUUAGUACGUGGAGAACGGCGGUGCCCUUUAGUACAUGGAGAACAGCAGUGCCCGUGAGCACCUGGAGAACGGCAGUGCCCUUGAGCAUGUGGAGAACGGCGGUGCCCUUUAGUACGUGGAGAACGACGGUGCCCUUGAGCACGUGGAGAACGGCGGUGCCCGUGAGCACCUGGAGAAUGGCGGUGCCCUUGAGCACGUGGAGAACGGCGGUGCCCUUUAGUACAUGGAGAACGGUGGUGCCCGUGAGCACGUGGAGAACGGCAGUGCCCUUGAGCACUCGGAGAACGGCAGUGCCCUUUAGAGAGUGUACUUUUUCUACAAACAAAAGUUAACAGUGAAGCAGCCUCAGGCAGGUCCUGCAGGAGGUGUCCAGAAGAAGGCCUUGUGAUCACAGGAGGUGACAGCUCUGUGCAUUCAUCACGCUGAAGACCUGCCACUGGAACAAGGUAUGGAGGGGAAGAUGGCAAUCUUGAUGAUCCUGACCCAGUGCAGGCCUAGGCCAAUGUGUGUUUGUGUCUUCAUUUUUAACAAAA